rfam:Salmo salar isolate Sally breed double haploid chromosome ssa06, whole genome shotgun sequence.
CGGCCAGGGGAAUUCCUGGUAGAGUGAUUUUUAAGACUAAAGACUGAAUCACAUUGCCAGGGAUUUCCAAUGGCUG